CAGGUGCCUACCGGACAGAUCAGAGGCGUAAGGGCAGGGUGCAGUUGUCCGGAAGUCUUGAUGGUUGUAUUGGAGCACUUAUCUCUCCAUUUUCUGACCUAGGAAUUACUGGAGCAUCAAGAAGAGCCUGCAUGCUUGAAGGGACUUCCAGGCGGGUGAACACACCCUAGCACUGGGUGUCAUCUCCCAAGGAGAGGCUGAGUGAUACUCCUCCCCUAACUUGUGACAGUGGUGCCUUGGAGAACAGAAAACAGGUCCAGAAAACCGAAAGAUGAAUCAGAAACAUCUGAAGAGGU